CCCUUAGAUGUUCUGGGCUGCACGCGCGCUACACUGAUGCGAUCAACAAGUUUUUCCUAUGUCGAUAGACACGGGUAAUCUUUUGAACUCGCAUCGUGAUGGGGAUAGAUUAUUGUAAUUAUUAAUCUUCAACGAGGAAUUCCUAGUAGGUGCAAAUCAUCAGUUUGCAUCGAUUACGUCCCUGCCCUUUGUACACACCGCCCGUCGCUGCUACCGAUUGGUUGAUCUGGUGAAUUAUUCGGACUGCCGGCUGAAGGGGUUUCCUCAUCUGCCAGCGAAAAGUCUUGUUAACCCUAUCAACUAGAGGAAGCAGAAGUCGUAACA
rnacentral:rRNA from 1 species